rnacentral:snRNA from 1 species
AUACCUUUCUCGGAUUUUGACUAAGAAAAGGUGUAAUAUUUGUUCUUAUCAGUUUAAUAUCUCAUAUGUGGACCAUAUUCACUCUGAUAUUAAAUUUAUUUUUUACGGGUAUCAAAUAUGAUUGUAUGCCGUUGCAAUGGACGGGCAUUGUACUAGUAUGUUCU